rnacentral:sRNA from 1 species
GCAAAAUUCAACUUUCCUUUGCAAACCCGUUUUGAAUCUGGUGUGGAGAAUCGCCAUCUCUCCCACUCAAAGCCGUUUAUGGGCCCACGCCUCUGCAGCCGAAGUAUUUCCCGGACAAAAAUGGGGUUGGCCAGGAACCUCCAUCUCUGCGUAUUAUUAAUGCAUGGCGUUCAAGCGUGCUUUUUUUUUUUUUCCUUUUCUUUCCCGCACCCUGACUGGUUGUGGAUCCCGAUUGGUAGCUCGUUUACUUUUUCACGAAGAAUUGACUUUUGCAGGAGUUGUUUUCUCGACCCCUCACAACGGGCGUUCACCACCACACCAGAGGAUCAAUCCCGAGAGUGGACCAACCCAC